CCUACGGGCGGCAGCAGUGAGGAAUAUUGGUCAAUGGGCGCGAGCCUGAACCAGCCAAGUAGCGUGAAGGAGGACUGCCCUACGGGUUGUAAACUUCUGUUAUAAAGGAAUAAAGUGAGGCACGUGUGCCGUUUUGUAUGUACUUUAUGAAUAAGGAUCGGCUAACUCCGUGCCAGCAGCCGCGGUAAUACGGAGGAUCCGAGCGUUAUCCGGAUUUAUUGGGUUUAAAGGGAGCGUAGAUGGGUUGUUAAGUCAGUUGGGAAAGUUUGCGGCUCCACCGUAAAAUUGCAAUUGAUACUGGCAGUCUUGAGUACCGUUGCGGUCGGCUGCAUUCGUGGUGUAGCG
rnacentral:rRNA from 1 species